AGCUGGUUUCUCAAGAAAAGAAUAUUAGUUCAACCUAAAAUAGAAAAAAUAUAUUAAAAUACUCCUAUUAUACUUUAGAGUAAUUCAAAUAAGGUACAGCCUAUUUGAUACGGGAUACAACCCUUACUAAUGGGUUAACUAUUAAAUCAUAAUUUAAGUAGGCCUAAGAGCAGCCACCUUUUAAAAAGCGUCAAAGCUUAAAAAAUGAUAUACCAAUUUAUUAAUUUCUAGUUACCCCUUUUUUACCACUGAGAACUUCUAUAAGACUAUAGAAAUUUUUAUGCUAAAACUAGUAACAAGAGGUUACCUCCUCUCUAAGAUGUAAAUAUAAACCAGAAAGAACCUAUCACUGGUAUUUAACAAACUCAACAAAAGUAAUAACUCUUCUAGAAAACAUUACUAUCCACACACAUUGUUAACCUAACACAAGAAUAUCUCAAGAAAGAUUUAAAGAAAAAGAAGGAACUCGGCAAACAAUAACCCCGCCUGUUUACCAAAAACAUCACCUCUUGAUCUUCCAUAAGAGGCCCAGCCUGCCCAGUGACCUGUAUGUUCAACGGCCGCGGUAUCCUAACCGUGCAAAGGUAGCGUAAUCACUUGUCUCCUAAAUAGAGACCAGUAUGAAAGGCUUCACGAGAGUUAAACUGUCUCCUUUUUCUAAUCAGUGAACCUAAUCUCCCCGUGAAGAAGCGGGGCUAUACACAUAAGACGUCUAACAUAAAC
rnacentral:rRNA from 1 species